rnacentral:misc_RNA from 1 species
UCUCCGUUGGUUAACCAUCGGAGGGAUCAUUAACUAGUUAUCUAACUCCCAAACCCAUGUGAACUUACCAUUUGUUGCCUCGGCAGAGCCUACCCGGUAACUGUUCGGAGAAGCUACCCUGUAGCUACCCUGUAACGGCCUACCCUGUAACGCACUGCCGGUGGACUUUUAAACUCUUGUUAUUUUAUAGUAAUCUGAGCGUCUUAUUUUAAUAAGUCAAAACUUUCAACAACGGAUCUCUUGGUUCUGGCAUCGAUGAAGAACGCAGC